rnacentral:rRNA from 1 species
AUGGGGAUGGGGGUGGGAGGAGGGGAGGGUGCUCCGGUGGCGCCGGCGGUGGUGGAGGAGGCAGGGAAGGGGGAGAAGGAGGAAGGGGAGGAGGAGGAGGAGGGGGGCAGCUGGGGGUGGCGCGCGAGGUCGAAGCUGAGCGCGGCGCUGGCGGCGCUGUGGGUGGUGCUGGUGGUGACCGGGGUGACGGCGCUGCACCGCAGCCUCCGCCACGGCGCGCUGGUCAAGGCCGAGGAGGGCAUCGUGUGCAUGUGCGAGGAGCGCGCGCGCAUGCUGCAGGACCAGUUCGCCGUCUCCGUCAACCACGUCCACGCCCUCGCCAUCCUCGUCGCCACCUUCCACUACGAGAAGCAGCCGCCCGCGCUCGACCAGGACACCUUCGCGGACUACACGGCGCGGACGUCCUUCGAGCGCCCGCUGCUGAGCGGGGUGGCGUACGCGCAGCGGGUGAUGCACGCCGACCGGGAGGCCUUCGAGCGGCAGCAGGGCUGGAUCAUCAAGACCAUGAAGCACGAGCCGUCCCCGCCUCAGGACGAGUACGCGCCGGUCAUCUACUCCCAGGAGACGGUGUCCUACAUCGAGGGGCUCGACAUGAUGUCCGGCGAGGAGGACCGGGAGAACAUCCUGAGGUCGAGGGCGACCGGGAAGGCCGUCCUCACCAGGCCAUUCAGGCUCAUGUCGAACCACCUGGGCGUGGUACUGACGUUCCCUGUCUACCUUGUCGACCUCCCCCCGGAUGCCAAGGUGGAGGAUCGUGUCGCUGCUACCGCCGGAUAUCUUGGAGGCGCUUUCGAUGUAGAGUCACUUGUGGAAAAUUUGCUGCGGCAGCUAGCUGGCAAUCAGGAGCUGGUGGUGAAUGUUUAUGAUGUCACAAACCAUUCGAAUCCUCUUGUCAUGUAUGGGUCUGAAGUCCCUCUUGGUGCCCCCUCACCCUCACACACCUGCACGCUUGAUUUUGGUGAUCCAUUCAGAAAUCAUCACAUGAUAUGCAGAUACAGAAGCGAGCCCCAUGUUCCAUGGUCUGCUAUUACUACCCCGUCUGGUGUGUUCGUUAUACUUAUGCUUAUCGGCUACAUAAUAUACGCUGCGUGGAAUCGCUAUGAUAGCGUUAAGGAAGAUUGCCGGAAAAUGGAAGCACUGAAAAAACGGGCAGAAGCCGCUGAUGUUGCUAAGUCUCAGUUCCUUGCAACUGUUUCUCAUGAGAUCAGGACACCCAUGAACGGUGUGCUAGGAAUGCUUGAUAUGCUAUUAGACACAGAGCUGAAGUCAACCCAGAGAGAUUUUGCGCAAACUGCCCAAAUCUGUGGAAAAGCAUUGAUAUCCCUAAUUAACGAAGUGCUUGACAGGGCCAAAAUUGAAGCUGGCAAGUUGGAGCUAGAGUCUGUACCGUUUGACCUUAGGUCCAUCCUUGAUGAGGUCGUCUCUCUAUUUUCUUCGAAGUCAAGAGAGAAGGGAAUUGAGCUUGCGGUAUAUGUCUCUGAAAGAGUUCCUGAAAUCCUGCUGGGCGAUCCUGGAAGGUUCCGUCAGAUAAUUACAAACUUAGUUGGGAACUCAAUUAAGUUCACAGAAAGGGGACACAUUUUUGUGCAAGUUCACCUGGCAGACCACUCAAAUCUAGCAACUGAACCAAAAGUUGAAUCAGUCGCGAAUGGCAUCAAUGGACAUAUAGACGAGACAAGUGUUGUAUCCACAAGCGUGUCGCACAAUACACUAAGUGGUUUUGAGGCUGCUGACAGCAGAAAUAGCUGGGAAAACUUCAAGGCUUUGCUUUCUUAUGACACAAAUGAUAUGGCGUAUGGAAGUGAUUCUGAGAAUGUCACUCUUGUAGUAAGUGUGGAGGAUACAGGGAUAGGUAUACCAAUUCAUGCCCAAGGCCGGGUCUUCAUGCCUUUCAUGCAAGCUGAUAGUUCAACAUCUAGAAAUUAUGGUGGGACUGGAAUUGGGUUGAGUAUCAGCAAAUGUCUUGUUGAACUAAUGAGUGGUCAGAUAAACUUUGUCAGUCGACCCAAUGUUGGGAGCACAUUUACAUUCACCGCAGUUCUGCAAAGGUGUGAGAGAAAUGCUAUUAAUGUCAGCAAGUCUGCUUUGUUGCAUCCUCUGCCAUCCAGUUUUCAAGGUCUAUCCACACUGCUGGUUGAUAAAAGACCAGUAAGAGCAACUGUAACUGAGUAUCAUUUGCAAAGACUUGGCAUUGCCUCGAAAUCUGUACGUACCAUUGAGCAAGCACUCAGUGUUUUGCUUGGGAGAAAUGGCACUUCGCUAACCAGCAUGCCCAGGAAACAACUUUCCAUGUUAUUAGUUGAAAGUGACUCAUGGGGCUUAAAGAUGGACGUCCCCUUGCGUACUAGAUUUUUGGAGAUGAAACAGAACGGGUGUGAAUCGGUGUUCCCUCAAGUUAUUCUCCUUUCAUUGGCUGAUUCAGACAAAAUGAAAGCGGAAUAUGCCGUUGAUUCUGUCAUCACAAAGCCUCUGAAAGCAAGCACACUUGCAGCUUGUCUAUUCCAAUCACUCGGUAUCAGUAUCACACAGGCAAACAAUGAGAAGAAACAUCAUGGCCCAGACUCUCUUUAUGGGUUGCUUCUUGGAAAGAACAUCCUGGUGGUUGAUGACAACAAGGUAAACCUUAGAGUUGCUGCUGGUACACUGAAGAAAUAUGGGGCAAAGGUGGAGUGCGUGGAGAGUGGAAAAGAUGCUCUUGAACUUCUGCAAGUCCCGCACAAAUUUGAUCUCUGUCUAAUGGAUAUUCAGAUGCCAGAGAUGGAUGGGUUUGAGGCGACCCGGCAAAUACGGGCAAUUGAAGCAAAGGCACAUGACCAGAAAGACAAUGCUGAUAAUUCAGAAGCAGGUAGUGCAGCAAAGAAGGCCCAAUGGCAUCUACCGGUCCUGGCAAUGACUGCCGAUGUCAUCCAGGCCACUCAUGAGGAAUGCACAAAGUAUGGAAUGGAUGGCUACGUCUCGAAACCCUUCGAGGAGAAGCAGCUGUUCAAGGCAGUGCAGAAGUUCUUGGGACCUAGCACAUCCAGCUGA